UAGGAAGUAGCAUAAUUUAGUGUUUUUUGCUUACAACAAAGCGGCGGUAGAGUAUACCUUUCCUUA
rnacentral:tRNA from 1 species